rnacentral:lncRNA from 1 species
UCUCCACCAGUCUUACACACUGCUUUUGGAUAACUUUAUGCUGCUUUACUCCUGGUGCAGAAAUUCAAGCAGUUCAGUUUGGUGGUUUGAUGGAUUGUGAUCAUCCAUCUUCCUCUUGAUUAUAUUCCGGAGGUUUUCAAUUUGGUAAAAUCAAAGAAUCUCAUAAUUGUGUGUGUGUGUGUGUGUGUGUGUGUGUCAUCUAAAGACUCUGGGCUGGUGCUAAAGUCCAUAUACCUCCACAAUGACAGACAGCAAAGUCAACAUCAAGAAGUCACACUGGAGCAGCUGCAGGUGUUUAAGCACAAAUCUCCAAUCACAGCCAUGACUCUGUUCAAGAAGAAGGUACGUUUACUGCAGCUUCAUAAACACACACACACAUUUACGCAAACAAACACACAAACACACACACACACACACACACACACCCUCGUCCUCAUCCCACUAUCUCUUAUACAGUGUCUCUAUGGCAACCUGAGACGAGGCAGAUGAGACCGGGUUCCAGAAGCGUGAAUUUUCACACGUAUUCACAGGGAAACAUAACGCGAGCGAAUCACUCGAGACAGAGCUCCAGAGCUGCAGCGCCGCUUCUCACCGACUUAAGAGUGAGAAGAGUGAAGUGUGAGACGUCCAACACAAUCACUCUGAUUGUCUGAGUGUGUAAAUCACUGUGUGUGUGUGUGUGUGUGUGUGUUGCUGAGAUAUUCAGUAAACACACUAUAGCACAAUAUCUACACACACUCACACAAUCAUUCACACACUCACUGAGCAAUUUGAGAAUACUGUACACAUAUUUUCCCUGAUGACAAGCGGCAAUCAACUCCGUUUAUAUAAAUAUAGAUGUAGAUUACACCCACAGUGAUAAGAAACACAGACAAAGAGUCGUAUAAUAUACUCAGUUAGAGGCUGUGAUACUAACUUGAAAAAUAGUAAAAAAAAUGGGCACCACACCACAAUGGGCCUUAAAAAUCAUUAAUAAUCAGUUAUAACACAUACGUAGAAAGGGCAACAAUAUAGAAGUCUGUGGGUUCACUAUUUGACAAACAAAAGUUCAUUGUUGCCCUUUCUACGUAUGUGUUAUAACUGAUUAUUAAUGAUUUUAAAGCCAUUUAAAACCUAAUUAGUAACCAUUAAUAAACUAAUAGUAAAACAUUUAUAAACCA